rnacentral:rRNA from 1 species
UACCCGCUGAACUUAAGCA